GCACAUGGAUGUCGUCCAACUUGAGGAAAUUGCCAAUUACUGUUGCUGGUAUCAAUUUCUCAGAACUGACCUCAAAACUUCACUGACAUUGUGCAGGAGGAGCACUUUACGAGACUAUACUCUUACGACACUCUUCAGAAAAGUAAGCAGCAAUCAAAGUAGCACGAUGUACAAAGCACGCAAACAAAGUCACAGGAAACAGGGAGCCAUCGCAAAGUAGCAUGCAUUCCAUGGCAAGGCAAUUAAUCUUCGUUGAUGUGCCUGCUAUACAAGCACAACUGCAUAUAAACUACGGUGAUAUCUUUGCACCAGAAAACCCCCAAAUCAAACUCAAAGUGUGAUGAAGCACGGAAGACUAGGCAUUUGCUUGAUCCUGUACGUUAAAGAGGGGAGGAUAUACAGCGAAGGUUAAGGAUGCUCAUCCUCGAAGUAAUUGAAGCGUCGAAAGUUGACCCACAAAUCGUGUUCAUGAACGAUUCCCACAUCCUUCGCAACGCACGUGCGUUCGGUUUAGUGGCCGUUCAUCUUUCACCCGAAGGUGCCAGAGAUGGCGGAAGAACACCUCGCUCACUGGAUACAGCUUUUUUUACACAAGAGGCCAGGCCAUACGUGCACAGGCAAUACGAGACUAGCCGACACCCUCAGAUGUGCAGAAGUUAGACAGUACUAGGGCCAUGUCACCUGACAUACGCAUCCCACAGAGAGGACUACUAUAUCCUAUAAUGGAAUAUCUGUGGGAGUCGGAGCCCAUGCAACGCCACUAGAUGGUAACCAACACCGAAACGGCACCAGCAAGGAAUUUCCGCUCCCACCAGAAAAGAAAUGCAAGCGCAACAAUGAGAGACUAAAAAGCACAGAAGAGAUAAAUGUAGCAACUCUAAAUUUGGAAGGAGGUAACCCGAAGAAGUGGGAAGAACUACAGCUAAAUGGUUGAACAGAAAACAUGGUCAUAUGUGCACUAACCGAAACGCAUCUACGAAAUCGAGACACCGUACUUAAGUAAUUAUUGGACCUGGAUUGGGAAGAGCAGACAGCAAGGAUUGUGAAAGGAGGUGGAGUAGGUGUUAUGUACAGAGUAGGAGCGAGGGUUAUCACGAAACGCUGCCAUGAACACCUGUGGGUAGAGUUCCAAACAGGAGCCCCCGUUCCAGCAUCUUAUAUGGAGACUGGAAAUGAAAAGAGAUGGAAUGAUGACAUUUACCAAUGCCUCCAGCAUAACAUCCUCGAAAUGGAACAAACAUGACUCCCUAAGAAACGUUACUCAUGGGCGAUUUUAAUUGCCACGAUGAAUUGGACGGGAAAGAGACAACACACCUACUGCGUGCCUUAACCAAAGAGCAUCUUACUAUCCUCAACUUAGAAAACCUCUGCUAUGGACAGGGUACAGGGGAAACCAGACCUCUACAAUCGAUUACAUUCUGGUAAGCAGCAGCCUCUUUUGGAACAGAGGGUAUGGCCUGAGCAUGGACGUUGACGACUCUUUGUACAGUUGUGACAGUUACUGCAACAGGGUGAGGCUAACUACUAUAACACCCCUAACAAUGACCAGCCCACUGGCAAGUAGCCGAACGAAAGAGAAGAAAACAAACCGUGCUGGGAAACCCACAACUAAGCUCUAGAGAAUUUCUCAAGUAGUCAAGCUGACACAUACGAAGAAUUUUAUACGUUAUUGGUAAACACUGCGUUAGCAGAAACGUACGAGGAGGAAACACAAGCCAUGGUAUGAUGCCGAACUGAAAGUGGCAAUUAAGGAAAAGCAAGGAAUCGACAACGCUGAAACUCUGUGUAGGAGUAAGACUACAUUGCAGACGACCGUUCCACAAAGAGACUGAAACAGAGUUACGGGAUGGGAGCAAGAAAGCAGGAGCUAAACUCUGGAAAUACAUCGCGGACCCCUCCAACAGCCAGGGCACAGAACAGAAUAAGGUUUCCCCAUAUGGCUCCAGACUCUCCAUGAAGCAUGAGAUAGAACAGCAUCUGACGUACUUCAAGAAAGAGCAAAACACUGUGGACCAAGAACCCAACCGGAAAUGACCAUACCAAUAAAGAGAGAAAUAGGUGUAGCUUAGAUGGAAAGAGGAAUUAGAAGACUGCUCAAUUGAAAGGAAACCAGGCCAGACGGCAUGCCUAAUGAAUUCCUAAAGGUGCUCAAACCAACAUCAGUGGACAUGUUGUGAAGAUGCUUCAACGAAGUCAUGACUUCCUCCGCGUGGAAAGAGGCAAACAUCAAACUAUUAUUCAAAGGGAACGGAAACUGAUAGAAAUUCAUACUGACCAAUAACCAUACAAAGCAAUCUAAACAAUCUAUUUCCAGGUAUUAUAACAGGAUGUCUACAACAGGACUGACAACAAAGCUGUCCGGAGCACAUAACCGAUUCAGACGGCACAGAAGGGCAUCGGAUAACAUCUUUAUCCUAACCCAAAUAAUAGAUUACCAACUACAAGAAAAGGUGUUAUACUUAGCUCACUUCAGCUUUCAAAAAGCCUAUGAUGCCAUACUUCAUCUCCUAACAUCAAAAAUGCGAACAAUGAACCUACCAGAAGACCCUACUUCGCUAAUAGAAAGCUUACAAAAAGAAAACCACAGUACAUAUUACUUGGUACCAUACAGGAACCAAGCAAGAGGUCGUCCUCCACCAAGAAUGCCCCAUGUCACCAAUAUUAAUAUUUUCAUCAACGACUUGCUGGAGAAUAUUAAUGAGUGACAGAGGAGUGUCUCACCACGAAAAGAACUGAUGGAACGGAAGAACAAACGAUCAUUACAACCUUGGCUUUCGCUGAUCAUACCCCCGACGACCUCCAGUACCUCCUAAACAUUUGCAGCACACGAGGAACUGCAGACAUGAAAUUCAACAUUGACAAAGCAAAAUGGAUGAAAUUUGGGCCAACCAAUGAAGACUGUAAAUUCAACAUCCGGAAUGAGAUAGUUCAACCCACUGAGACCUACAUAUAUACCUGGGUAUAACCACACGUACGCAAGCCGAUACUGAAGGUACGUCAAAAGAAAGGUCUCGCUUGGCAUCUAGGACGACAUUCGUGCAACCCCGACGCAGUAGGGCUGCUGUUAUGGAAAUCCGCGGUUGUGUCUGUCACAAUACACGCAAACAAUGCAAUAUGCUACCAUUGACCGCCUCUACCAGGAACGAGAAAUCUGUAGAUGGAUAUUACGAGGAAACUUUGCACCCCCCCCCCCUAAUCCCGCUAUUAAAGGGGAAAUGGCUUGGCCCACUUUCUCAUUCAGAGACACACGAUCUCAAACCACAUACCUCAGACGACUGGUCCACAGCCCAGAAAACAGCUACAUAAAGAGCAUCUUCCAGCAUAUUUGCUACGAGUUGGGUGAAAAGAAUACAUCAUGUCGACCAGAUCUACAGCAGAGGCUCUACAAGAGAAAAGGUGAAGAACGAAUCAGAGCGCAACAAAAUUACAACGAAGGAAAUGUAACAAAUAGAGGGAGAGCGAUGGCGAACAGCAAUUCGGAAGGAACAAAGUGCGAAUAUCUACAAAGUGUAUACAAAGAUCAACGCGCACCAGAAAAAUUCUACCGAGGAGACAACAGAAGUGGCCUUUUCCAGGCAUGAACAGGCUCUAACACUGAUAUUGCAGAUGGCCUCCUCUGUAAAUCUUGAGAGAUGGAUCUCGACCAUAUCCUAUUCUCGUGCCCGAGCCGAGAAGCCACGAGAACCGGAAUCACUACCAGAAUUGUUAGGUUUCUACACAAGUGACUCGCCCCACAAUGCUGUGAGCAGCAAAGCGACACCUGGUGGCAUGGGAAAGAGAAUCAAUGAAGAGAUGAACGAAAGCUACUAGAGCUGCAAGAACACUGUGUAGCCUACUCUGUCGACACAGCAAACAUAGAGGAUCCGAGGAACGACCCAGCCAACGAACCGGGUGAACCAGCGAGAACAACAUACGGGAGGCCACCUAGCGACCACGAACCCAACCUAACCUAACCCAACCCAACCUAACCUAACAUGGUCUCCAGCCAUUCUUCUGUGGGCUUUACUCUUCGCCUGUGGUACCGCAAGGUACCUGCCCCAUUUCGAAAGGGAUUACGCGAGCCUGAACCUGAACCAUGUAUUUAAGUAGGCCAUGUGUUGGCUUCAGGCAGACUGGGUGUGGACCGAGAUGGAUGAUACUGUACAUUGUCGAGACUUAAGAGAUCUGGAUGGCUCAUGUUGCAGGAAUGCAUUGUGAAUGUAACCAUGCACAAAAAAAUCGAAGAGUAUCCAGGAAAUGUCAGUUGUACUCUUCAGGGCUACACGUUCAACAUCGUAACUUUGAUGACGAGGAAUGGAUUGGUCAUGCCUCUGGGGAAGCGCGAAGGAAUUUGUGCCUGGCACCAACUUGACACUGGUUUCAGCGCCUCGAGUUCCACUUAGAGGAGAACGAUAUCGCAGAAUCUGCGAAGAAAUGAGCAGUACUGCUUUUCAUGUGUGGUGAGAUUACGUUUGAGACCCUCAUAGGCUUGGUAGCACCACAGACACAGGCAGAGGCACCGUAUGAGGAGGUGCUUGCAAUAUUGGAACGAAAAUUUGACGUUUCGCCAUACGUGCUCGUAUGCUGCUGCAAAUUUCAACAGAACCAGUGAAGGUGUGGAAGAGUAUACUGCCGCAAAUUAAAGGCUCCGACCCAAAGUAGGAACUUUUGGUCAGGAACUGAUGUUCUAGCUGCCACAUGAGUCCCAACCACGACUCCAGCAACAGGAACACCAGUCACAACUCACUCAAUUCCACCGGGGCCAAGCCAAACUACCACCACGUAUACAGCAGCAAUGCAGCAAUUGCCUGGUACAACACAUGCAACAGCGGAGGUAACUGACAUCAAUUCAAGGUUACCGUUAAGCGUAAUGCAGAGGGAUAGGUUUGUUUGUGGAAUUUGCGACCCCCCUUGCUGCAGCAGUUAUUGCUGGCAGACUGGAAAACUUUCGAACAGGUAUACGCAAUUGCGUUGGCAACGGAAACACCAGGAGAGCAACAUCGUCAGAUUUGGUCAGUGACAUAACUAGCCGCUGGUAACUUCGCAGGCACGAGAACAAAGGAGGCUGCAAAACCGAAGUGUUUCUGGUGCUUGGGUCCGCUGCGAAGCAGCAUGUCCACACAUCAAGGAUGUUUGAGUUCUGUACACAAAAUGGGGCACACAGAGAAAACUCGCACAGAAAAAGUGUUACUCAGAGCAAAACAAACACAAGAACGGAAUAAUAGGAACCAAGUGGGACAAGCAGAGUCCGGGUACCAGUGCAGUAUUUUCAGUGACUGUGAAACAGCAGCCUAAGUUUGAAGUCGUCGUACACUUAACGAGGUACCACUGAAGGUGGAGGUAAAUUCCGGUGCAGCUUUUUUAAUGAUUGAUUGAUGAGAGCACCUUCAAGCAGUUGUGACCACAGGGCCCUCCAUUCCUGCAUAGGGACAAAAUUGCUCUCCAGAUCUGGACAGGUCAUGGGUUGGCCGUCUCUGGAAAAAUAGCUGUCACACCGGGUUUCCAUGAGAAGGCACACGUAUUAAACCUCGGAUUCGCUCGCAGUUCUGGGGUUCUAGGGACUGGUUCUCAAAAGUUUGGGAAUCGCCGUUGAAGAAACCCACAAUGUGAAGACUCUGUGGAUUUUCCACAUCCGUUUUCUGACAAUCUGGAAGGACACAAGGGUGAACCAUUGCACAUAGUCUUGAUGACGGAAGCGGAACCAAAGUUCUUGAAAUAUCGCAAGUACUGUUUGCACUGCAGGAAGCCAUGAAAAGCCAGAACAGGCUCAUUGAGCAAGGAGUACUAGAGUUUGUGAAGGUGCUGGCAUGGGCUAUGCCAGUGGUUGCUGCUAGAAAACAGACCGGACAAUAAGACUGUGGUGGCUACCACAGUACUGGUGCAAAGGGUCGAAGAAGCUCUACAACUCCCCACUUGCCUCUGUCUUCACAGGGUGAUCAAUGUUUGUGCUCUAAUCUUCGUCAGCAAAGUGUGUUGUUCACCCCCAGGGAAUCUUGCUGUUCUUGUGGAGCCCCAUUGUUCGAGACAUCUUACGAAGCUAAUGCCCUAAUGCACCCGGCCAUAAAAAAUCCUACAGCAAUUUCGAACCUGAGUUACCAGGCGAAAGGCUACACUGUGGAGCAUACACGACAUUCUGCACUCAUCAUCACUGCAGCCUCCGUACGAAACUCGGCCCGCAAUUUUGAGGACAUGGCGUCUUUGAACCAAACAGUAUUGUCAGGCUGCACCUUCAAUCUGCAGAUGGAGGCUUUCCACGAAGCAGAAUGACAAACCUGGGCCUGGUAAUUUUUUUUCUUUUCUUCUUUUGCAUUUCAGGAACGGACAUCACACUGGCUUGGAACACCCCGUGGUUCAUACAGAGCGCAGCACUGUGUCGACACAUUCUUCCAAAGUGGUGAUAUUUGUUUUUGCUCUUCCUUGUAGGUGUUUAACUGCAUGGUUAGAGUAAUGCGAGAAGUUUAAGCAGGCCUGCAAUUCCAACCUUGCUGUCUUGCCUUUCACACGUUUCAUGUGGCGCAUCACUUGUGCUGUUUUGACUUUUCAGUUUCAUGUUGGUGUCUGAAGACGCUGCCUGAAGCAGAUGUUUGGUUGCUCUUGUGUGGCCAUUACUGUCUGGCUUUUCGUUCUUCUUUCAGGUCCAGCCAUCUGUGGUUGAGCCACGCGUGUAACUCAGGACUCCCGGGAUCUCCAAGACGUUGGUACUGUAGCGGUCCGUAGACAGCUGCAACGUACACACCACUACGGCCACACCUCAAGGCAUCAGCUAGUCACUUCCAUCGGCACACUUGCGGAGUAAGGUCACAAAGGUUGAGAAGCUCCCCAGCACAUCCGCCUUCGGGGCAUUCCAUCUUCGAUCAGGACUCGUGCAGAAGAACACCAUCCGUUCUGGAGUGAGGCCACGGGUUAUGCUCAAGAGCCAGGAGAUUAGUAGAUGGACAUCACCACCUGCUUGCUUCAUGGUGCUAUGUGGCAUUUUCUACCCGGAGCAUAGUGCGAAAAGUCUGCAGCAGUUUGCAUUGCUACCAAGCAUGACUCAACUCUACAGAUCACAGCAAAUCGCCAUUGGAAGCCCGUAGACACGGGAUAUCCUCUUCAGCAACAAACACCAGCACGUGGGAGCAUCCUUCACCCGAAAAGCAGUGUGUGUCUCUCCCCAUCAGCACAGCUGAAAGACAGUACUGACGUUCUUGACGUGCUUGUAUCGAGCAGUUCUUGUGAGUGAUGUGGAAUGGACUGGACUGUUCGACACAAACUGACCAGUAUUGUUGUCGUCGCUCUUGUAUGUCGGUAUCAUUCUGCCUAGAAGUUGUCCAAGGAUGUUCUUAUGUAUCUCCCAAUGACGGCAUUGUUGGCAUAGUGCACUUUUCGCAUCAAAAUUUUUCUCUUUCUAUAAUCAUCCGUUCACAUUGGCUCUCGCUACAUCUUGGUCCAUAUUGAUGCAGAUUACAUUUGACUUGCAUGCUGAAUGUGAAUGUUGCAUGAUGAACGUUGCGCGAGGGAUCCGUCGCGCCGCAAUCGUUCCGCCGUCCGAACCGUCCCGUGAACCGCGACCGACACCGAUGCCGUGUGUGCAUGCAUUCUUGACUGAGUGUGCGUACACUUUCUACUAACUGCUAACAUCAGUUGAAUGUAGUGUGCCAGGUGGACCAAGCACUGUAGUUACAGCAUAUUUGCUUUGAAACUGUAGUUACGUAUGUCAUUAUGCCUGCCAUGCCGUGGAAUGUAAAUUCAACUGAUUGGUGUUUAUUUAUGAUUCCAUUCGUUACCUUUUAAAAUGAUUCAUUUCCUUGAAUUGUCGCCGGAAUCGUUUCGCUGAUAGUUUUGUAGCAAGAAUAAUUUGAGGUUUUAUACAUGCAUUGUGCACUUGUACUUUAGGUUUUGUUAUUGUCAUUUUGUAAUACAGUCUUGCCUCAUUAAUGUGGACAACUUCAGUUGUGGACUAUUUUUGUGAGGACCAAAUCUUUCCAUGCAUUUUCGUCUCAUUAGUAUGAAGACUCUUUGCAGGACCAUUCAUUGUCCGAAAGGUACAAAAGACGUGUAGUCCAUCUCGUUAUUACGCACAGUUAUACAUACCGUACAGUAUAUUACGUACAGUGUGAAGGACCAGCCUCUUCCCAAAUUCUACACGGGAACCUUUGAAAAUAGGACGUUCCGUUGCACAAGGGGAGCUAUGUUGUCUCCAUCAGUGCUUGCCAGUUACGCACCAGACGACAUUACAAUUUCAACGAAACUAGUUUCUUUUACAAGCUUGAAGACCCUCUUCCACACUUGCUUCCGGACCUGCCGCUGGAAAGAAAUGGUGCAAAGUUACCGUUGAACUGACGUGCAACGCGUGCAAGACCGACAAGGUAAAGCUUAGUUACAGAAAAAGAAACAAAAAAAUCAAGCGACCUAGGUGCUUUGGAAAGAUGCUCGAUCCUUCAUCUUACUGCACUUGCGAAGCCAACAAGAAUGUCUGGAUGACUUCGAACAUCUUAAGGUGGUUUCUUCAGCAGUUCGGUCACACGCUGAGCAACCACGGUCUGAAAGUUAUUGCUGUAGCAGACUGCGCUUGUUGCCAUUCCGUCUCAGCGGAGAAGUUCUCCAAUCCUGGGCUGUUCUAUCUCUUACCGAAUGUGACAGCCACAACUAACCCCUGGAUGCUGGGAUUAUUCGAGCGACCGAAGCGCGCUGCAGAGUAGCUUUUGUGAGGCGUUACCUUCAAUGCAGUGAAAAUAAUGAACUGGACUGUCAGCUUUCUGUGGUGAGAAUAGCAUGGGAUGCAGCAGGCCUACAACCAUUGUGAACUGCUGGCAACACGUUGGUAUCCUACCACCUGAGGACAGUGAUCAAAACGACAACCCCCAUGGACAAUCUUCCUCUCGCAAGACUUCAGUCGUGCCUACUAGAAGCUGGAGCAAUAAAGCCUCAAGCAGCUGCUGAACAGUUCCUCGCUAUCAACGAAGAGGAAGAUUUGGAAGAAGAGCUCACCGACUAAGCAAUUCUGGAGGCAUUGGGGCAGGUUGUCUCGGAUCCAGUCUUCACGUCUUCAGUUUGUUCAGCUGUGAAGUUGACGACUUGAGCAAAGCCAAGCCAACGGUCUCAUCUGCUAUGGCUCAAGUAGGACUACAAACAGCUCUUAAAUUCAUUGAGGACAAUGGUGAAAAGCAGCAGGAUCUACAGGUUGCCGAUGUUUUGCGAAGCUUAAAUGGAUGUGCAACCAGGUAUAUACGUGGAAGUCACUAAUUCGGGAAUUUUUUUCAACAAAUCGUCGUUUUUAUUUCCUUGGUAUUCGAUAAUAUGGACUAUGGAUGAUUUUGGUCGGGGGUGAAAGUGUCCAUAUUAACGAGGCAUGACUGUAAUUGUGUUUUGUGUAACACCGCAUGUUUCAUUUGCAGGUUUGAAGUGUGUAUCUUGGGGCUAUGAAAUGAAAAAUUGUUUGUACCCUGUGUGCUUUUGCUUAUAUUCAUCUCUCAUUUUGUCAUUAAAAAAAAUUGUUUUGGGUA